CCUUGGCCUCUAAUGCAGCUACAUGGACUAAACCAAGACGUACACCCCCCCACGCGGUCCCGAUCCUUACAUCAAUCUAAAAGGACAGUUACUUUGCGUCGCGAAAAUAACAAGGAUAUAUAUUUUUGUGUGAUGAGUCGAUCUGAAUGGAAGUUUUAAAACUUUUUCUCCUGGCUAACGUAGCUUUGGAACUAAAAGCAUGCUGUUAUUCCGUUCCCUGGAGCCUCGCCGACAAAAUGGGACGUUCCAUGCAUUGAUUUAAUAAUGCUUGACGCGACUGUCAUCAGUGUAAAGGCAAUGGAAGGAGAAGAGCACCACCGUAAGAAAGGACAUGUUUUGUCAUGGAGAAGGCCAAAGAGACGCUGCCACUGCAGAUCUGACCAUGAUGGAGGUGUUGGCACUUUUCCACCAUGGGAUCCUGGAACAUCUGCACGAAGGAUAGUACAUUCGAUUUGGCUUCAAGAUCUUCUCCUGAGCGAUGAAAACAAGCUCAGUUACAGAUUUUAUCAGGGAGUUUUAAAGGUACCCAUGGCCAAACCUGCCACUUCAGCCCACUUUGUCCCCAUUGACCCCCAACAGUAAAAUACAGCAGGAUUGACCAAGCUGCUGCUACAGUAAAGCCAAAAUGUAUAUCCAUACAUUGUUGUGCAGCAGAUAUGCUUCGACAGGUAAGCCGACCAACAGGCCAAUCAAUUACAAAUUUUAGUGAAUUCCCCGCCGUGCCACGAGCAAAGAAUCCACUUUAUUAGUGCUUGUCAGCGAGCGUGGAUCUGUGCUCUGGUUUUGAUUGCUGGUGGAUGUCCCACUGUAGUGCUUGUCAGAUCAGGGAUAUUCCUCUGUCUCCGUCCCUCCUCUCCUCCUCUUCUCCUGUCCUUCCUGUCAUUUUUGUGGCAGCAGGAGACAUCUGGACGACUGUCACGGUUGACACGGUUGGAUGACGAGCUCUGACAAAUCCCCAUGGACCAUGGGAAACAGGAGGAGAGGACUCUCAUUGGUGAUGAUGGACUGUGUGUGCUUGUGUGAGAGAGUGUAUGUGUGGACUGUACAUGAGUUUGGAAAAUUAUAUUAGGAUUAAUAGUUCUUAAUACAAGAUCUUUGUAUUUGUAUAUGGUCAACAAUAUUCUAUGAGCAUAGUGUUACAAACUGAUUUGAUGUAGCUAGUUGCAUUUUUACUUUGACAGAACCCUCAAUGUUUUGUGUGACGAUUAUUGCAGCUGAGGGUUUCCUUGAUUGGCCUCUCACCAAUGUACUUUUAGACGGAACAUGGUCACUUUGAGGCCAGUGAAACAUACAGUACAUAACUACAGUAUGGAACCCUAACACCUUAAUGUUUUGGUUCAGCUUGCUCUAACUAGGGAAGUGGUGACAUGUUUUGCCCUCACUGUUUGCCGUAGUUGAAACUAUAGUUUGCACUCAGCUUACAAGGGAUUGUUGGUCUUACUGUAGCACUAGGCUGAUAAUGUCUCCCCCUCUGACAGGUGGUUCUGGCUCCCCAUGUCAGAGCAUUUGUGUUCUGUGUCUUAUUUAAUUUGCAUGUUAUAUAUGCAACUAAUAGACUGAGCUAUUUGUUGUAUAGGUGUCCAUCUUGUGUUGGGCACGUCUUUUUCAUGUACUGUAAUCACUUUCAUUAGGUUUACAUAGUAGCAUUCCAUUCUUGGUGUAUUUAGUAUAUUUCCCAGGUGUAUUUGCAGUCCUCCUGAAACAAAGCACGGCCCCAUUGUUCGGAUCCCAAUGGGAUCUCAUGUUACUGCAAAAUGUUGGUGUAGCCAUACUACUCUCAGUUUCUAAUGUCCAGUAUAUAUUGAUGAGUCUAGUCUGCUUGUGGUUCUUACUGCAUUUGAAGAAUUCAAGCAAACUCUGCUCAAAACAACUGAUAGUUUAAAGCACAUUAAGAAGCUGAGACAUGUCACAAAUGAUCAGAAAGCCGUUCCGAGUGAGUACUUUGUAAAUGUGAUGGGAGAUUGCCACGAGUGCCAACAUGUUGUCUAAAUGCCUAAAUGUAGCUACAGACAAUCUCACUCACACUCACCUUCUGGAACCCAGCGAAAACUCUGAGACAUGUGGAGACAGGCACGCAGGCGACCCUGGAAUCAAACCUAUGACCAUGCUGUGAAGCAUAUUUACUCUGUCAUCAAUAAUAAUGUACAAUAUAAUAAGAAGUAAUGCAACUACAAUUACUGUAAAAAUACAAGUAACAUGAGAAUGAAAAAACGUGUGUCAUUAUCCAUUUUAACUGGAUUAAAAUAAAAGACUCAUUUGUAUGUAGCGUUGGUCA
rnacentral:lncRNA from 1 species